GGGGUAGUAGCUCAAAGGUAGAGCGUCUGACUCCAGAUCAGAAAGUUGUGAGUUCAAAUCUUACCUGCCUCA
rnacentral:tRNA from 1 species